rnacentral:snoRNA from 1 species
UUGCAAGUCUUCCAGCGUGCUUGGGUCUGGGGUGACUCCUGCAUUCCUACAGUGCUUGCCAGAGUAUUCUGAAACGGUUUGAGACCUUGCUCUGCCCCUCCUCAGAGCAUGGCCAUAGACGUUUCAGACAUCU